AACGACCUCAAAUUUCGAAAAAGUGAAAAAUUAAUUGAAACACAGAACAAUUAGUUGAUGAGCGAAGUUUCUUGCGUAGGUAACUGUUAGCUCUUGCGACACACUUACUACCGACAUUGAGUUCAUACCACAUUUAUAAAUUAGUGUAUGGCAAAAUUUUCCCUGUGAUCAAGCUCCAAGGGGCUGUCCAUCCUUUGCUUUGUUGUGAAAUCGAAUCAAUUCUCAGACUCUGUUAUCUU